GACAGAGGGUGCAAACGUUGUUCGGAAUUACUGGGCGUAAAGCGCGUGUAGGCGGUUCGGUAAGUCGGAUGUGAAAGCCCCGGGCUCAACCCGGGAAGUGCACUCGAUACUGCCGAGCUAGAGUAUCGGAGAGGUUGGUGGAAUUCUCGGUGUAGAGGUGAAAUUCGUAGAUAUCGAGAGGAACACCGGUGGCGAAGGCGGCCAACUGGACGAAUACUGACGCUGAGACUCGAAAGCGUGGGGAGCAAACAGG
rnacentral:rRNA from 1 species